rnacentral:rRNA from 1 species
GAUUAAUGCUAGCGGCGUGCCUUAUGCAUGCAAGUCGAACGGUUCUGAUUUAUCAGGAUAGUGGCAAACGGGUGAGUAAUACGUAAGCAACCUACCCGAGUAAGGAAUAAUCCGCCGAAAGGUGGACUAAUACCUUAUGUUGUGUCUUCUCGCCGGAGAGGUCACCAAAGUCUUCGGAUGCUUUGGGAGGGGCUUGCGUCUGAUUAGCUAGUUGGUGGGGUAACGGCCUACCAAGGCGAUGAUCGGUAGCUGGUUUGAGAGAAUGAUCAGCCACACUGGGACUGAGACACGGCCCAGACACCUACGGGUGGCUG